AUUAAUUCAUUUUUAUAAAAAUAUGCUAUAAAAAUUGUAUAUUAAUCAAUAAUACUGAUUUUUAUUUUUAUAUAUUUCCUGUUCGUAUUUGCAGAAUAUUAAGGUGAGGACAUUAGUAAAUCUUCUAUACACGAUGCAAGUGUUCAUAGAAAUAAGUUUGAGAAAUACUGUUUUAGUCCUAUAUUUGUUAUUUCUGAUAAAUAUGAUAAAAAAUAUUAUCAUCAUAUUUUAAUCAACUUCCAAGACAAGAUCAAGGGAAAAUGCUAUUUCUGAAUCAAAAUCCAAUAAUGUGAUCAAGGCAUCCAAGAGUCAUAACAUUAUAUAAUUCAUAAGGGUUAGGCUAUGCUUGCAUGAUUACCAUUUUCUCAAAUUCUAUUUGCUCAAUUUUCAUAUGCCUGAACUUAUUUGAAUAAAAAUUGUUUCAUUCCAGUUUUCCUGUUUCUCAAUUUCUAGUAACCUAAAUCCUAUAUUUCCAAAUAUAAGAUGAAAUCAAAACAUAUUUCUAUAAUUUUUGCUUUUAGUUUAGACUUGAUUAUUAAUCUUACUAAUAAUGCAUUGAGUUUAAAUUAAACAAAACUUAUAAAUUUAAUAAAAUGUGAACUGUAGACUAAUUUGUUAAAUAAAUAGAAUAUAAGCACAAUAACAGGUUUAAACAUAGGCUUCUAUUUUAUUAAUGAUAACAUUUUUGGUUUUGUGAUGAGCCUUCUUCAGUUACACAAACUCUAAGAAUAAAAGAACAUCAAAUAAUAAUUCAAAUUCAAAAAAAAAAAUUGACAUUAGUAACACCUGGGUUAUUCAACAUUCCUUUAAAAAAGAUAGCUUUUCACUGCACUUUGUUAUUACUAUCAAUAAAAAUUUAAAGCUGCCAUUGUGUUGAUGGGUUUAUUUCAAGAUGAAUAUAGAGAAAUAGUAAGGAAUAAUAACAAUAUGGAUUUAAAUAACUUUUUAUCUUUUAUUUCAUUUAUUUGUCUCAAAACACAUUAAUUACAUUCCAAAUACAGUAGGAUUCCUAUAUCCAUAGAGGAUAAAUUCCAAGUCUCCUAGUGGAUGCCUGAGAUCACAGAUAGUAGUAAACAUUUAUAUACUUUACACACUGUACAUGGUUGGUAAAAGUUUCAUUGUGCCUACUUUAUAAAUUAAACAGUUUGGCCUGCUUGAAUUAACUUCUAGCAGGCCAAACUGUGGCCCAUAGGCAAGAUUGGAAGCAUGAUUUCAGUUUUCUUUUAAUUAAUAUGAUAUGAGAAUGAAACUUACCUGAUGAAUAUUUAAUCCAGAUUUGGGAAAACUUAAAUAUAAAAUAACCAUAUUAAAUAUUAUCAAUAUUUUAUUGAUAAAUUUAAAAACUUAAAACUUUGAAUUUUCAAAAAUAGAGUUUAUAUAUAAAUUAAUGAUGCAAGGUGUAUAUUGGGUUAUUGAGAACUGUUCUUGUCUUAUAUAAAAAAGCCUACUUCAAUAUUUAACAAAUAGAAAGAAAGAAUUUAAUACUGUUUUCUCCCUAACAAAUGCAAAUUUUGAGAGAAUCCACACUAAUUCCACAAUCAAUACAAAUAGGUUUUGUAAAAUUUGCCUCUCAGUGUAAAAACCAAAGAACAAAUUUGCUGAAUAACAAAGUUAAGAAAAUGAUUGAGAGAUGUUUGAUGAGAAGGGAGGUUUCCCGAGAAAAAUUGUAUAAUUUUAAACAGUUCAUGAAUUUUUCAUUUCAUGAAAAAUUAGAUCUGGCCUGCAAGAAAUUAAAUUGCAAGAAAUGAACAGUAGUUCCAAGUAAAUUGAAUACUGUAUAAUAGCUUUUGAAUAAUGAAAACUAUUACACAGCAAUGAAUAAGAAAGUGAUUAUAAAUUGAAAAAUAUGAGAGUACAUCAGGUUAUUUGCAUGCAGCAUUGUGUCAAAACAUGAUUCUGCUAAGAAUGCUGUAUAAAUAUGGAUAAUCAGUUAUUCGUCAUACUCAGUUUGGCAUUCUAAUCGGUUAGACAUUGUAUAUUUGUUGUCAAGAUUUACUUCCAAACAAAGGCAACUAAAAAGGUUAAAGAAAAAUUUAAUGUAAAAUUUCCACUUUUGUAUAAUCCUAUAAAUAUUAUACAAAAUAUGGUGGCCAAACUUGAACACACUGAUUCCAUAUUAAACAAGAAACACAUUCAAUAGAAACUGGUAACAGAUAAUGCCUGAACUUCUAAUGAUAUCCAUCGGUGCAUGGUAAAGCAAUGGUUUAUCAUUAUGGAAGAUCCUGAAUUCAAUUCUGGAUCCCUUAUCUCCAGUUUUUCAGAAGGGGUUGGAGUCAGGCUAUCAAACCUCAUUAAGGGUCUUUGGCUAGCUUUUAAUGGGCUUUAAAAGUAGCUGUCACCCAAAGUAUCCCAUGUAUGAUUUUCAAUGUAAUUAAAACUACCCUAACCAGAUUUAAUUUUAUUCAACUUAGAUUGAAUCAAAAAAUUUGGGCUGUCACAAGAAGCAGUUGUAUCAUGUACUUUUUGCCAUGAUACAACUGUUAAUCAUGACAUGAAGUACAUGUCAUGACUAGCAGUUAUAGUCAUGGCAUGUAUUUAUAUUUAUAGUCAUUAGAUUACAAGGCUUAUAAAAUUGUAUAUUCAAGAGUUAGGUCCCCUGAAUGUGCAAAAAUGUUUACUGUAAUUGUUAUAACAGUGAAAUAAUCAGUAGAUUACUCAAUCCUUUGCUUCUCAAUCAUAAAAAAUAGAAUUUUUUCAUUUUCAAACUAUGUAGGUACUCAGAAUAGUAAACCUGAAUACAAUUGUUUGAACAACCACUGCAGGAUCAAAAAUUGAUAUUUGGUAUGUUAUAUCUGGAAAGAGAAUAACUGGGUUGAUAUUUUCUUAACAGCAGUAAACAGUGAAUAGUGCAUACAGUAAAAAUACAAAACAGUUUGGCACUGGACAAAAAAAUCACAACCUUAUUGUGUUUCAUAGGAUAUCUUCAAUCCUGUGAAACACAACAACAAAGCUAUUUGUUGAACCAAAUAAUUUUUAUUUAAAUAUUUUUGGGUGUAUUUUCAUCAUCAGUAAAUUACAGGCUGAAGAAACAAGUGGAAAAACCUUUCCAGUACAUAACCUCUACCUCACCCAUCCCAAUGAUAAUGCUAUCCCUCCCUCUGACUGCAAAAAUGAACAUCUUAUAUGUGCACAUAACCCACUGUAUGAAAACUGCCCAAGCUGAUGCCAUUAAGACAUUACAAAAUAGAAGCAACAGACACAAUAUGAAUGGACAAAGAAGACUGCCUUAUGUUAGAAAGCACAGGUCUAUAAGAUUCCUUUAACUAUUAACAGAUACUGGAAAUUGUUCUUGGCAAGCAUAAAUAGAAAUUAUCACCAAACAGAUACAAGAUAGAAUAAAACAUCAUUUGUGUGAUAUUACUAUUGAGAAGGCUUCCACUAUUUUUAGUGACAUUGUAUUCCUUAAUAUUAAUAUUUUAUGGAGCCAUCUACUGUUUUUGGAGGAAAAUAUUAGAAGAAAUUUUGUCAAUGAAAAGUGGAAUGUGUCUAAGGAAAACUUUUAUAGGGAUAUUAUUAAUGAAAAAAACAUUAAUAACUUAACCAAGGAUUCUCACAUUGCUAGUAAGUAUUUAAAGAAACUAUUCCAUAGACAUCUUACAGUUGUACAACUUGAUCCAUUAUGAUACAUGUAUGUAUAAUUUUUUGUUUUUUCUAUAUUGUUGGUUUGCUAUAUUUUAUAUGUUACUUUCAUUUCAGUAUUUUUUUGUCUUUAUUUUGUAAUUAACCUUUUUAACAUCCUAAUAGCAUGGGUGGGUUUCAUGCAGUCAAUUGUGUGUACACAACAGAUGUUUAUUUUUGUAUUCAGGAGGAAAGAGUAGUGUUAUUUAUUGUUGGAGUGGAUAGGGUGUGUAUCCAGAAGGUUGUUUUAGUUGUUUUUUUCAAUCUUGGUUUACUGAUGAUCAAGUAAAUACCCACAAAUGCUUUA
rnacentral:lncRNA from 1 species